UGAGGAAUAUUGGUCAAUGGACGAGAGUCCGAACCAGCCAAGUAGCGUGAAGGAUGACUGCCCUAUGGGUUGUAAACUUCUUUUAUACGGGAAUAAAGUGAGGUACGUGUGCCUUUUUGUAUGUACCGUAUGAAUAAGGAUCGGCUAACUCCGUGCCAGCAGCCGCGGUAAUACGGAGGAUCCGAGCGUUAUCCGGAUUUAUUGGGUUUAAAGGGAGCGUAGGCGGACGCUUAAGUCAGUUGUGAAAGUUUGCGGCUCAACCGUAAAAUUGCAGUUGAUACUGGGUGUCUUGAGUACAGUAGAGGCAGGCGGAAUUCGUGGUGUAGCGGUGAAAUGCUUAGAUAUCACGAAGAACUCCGAUUGCGAAGGCAGCCUGCUGGACUGUAACUGACGCUGAUGCUCGAAAGUGUGGGUAUCAAACAGGAUUAGAUACCCUGGUAGUCCACACAGUAAACGAUGAAUACUCGCUGUUUGCGAUAUACAGUAAGCGGCCAAGCGAAAGCGUUAAGUAUUCCACCUGGGGAGUACGCCGGCAACGGUGAAACUCAAAGGAAUUGACGGGGGCCCGCACAAGCGGAGGAACAUGUGGUUUAAUUCGAUGAUACGCGAGGAACCUUACCCGGGCUUGAAUUGCAACUGAAUGAUGUGGAGACAUGUCAGCCGCAAGGCAGUUGUGAAGGUGCUGCAUGGUUGUCGUCAGCUCGUGCCGUGAGGUGUCGGCUUAAGUGCCAUAACGAGCGCAACCCUUAUCGAUAGUUACCAUCAGGUUAUGCUGGGGACUCUGUCGAGACUGCCGUCGUAAGAUGUGAGGAAGGUGGGGAUGACGUCAAAUCAGCACGGCCCUUACGUCCGGGGCUACACACGUGUUACAAUGGGGGGUACAGAAGGCAGCUACACGGCGACGUGAUGCUAAUCCCGAAAGCCUCUCUCAGUUCGGAUUGGAGUCUGCAACCCGACUCCAUGAAGCUGGAUUCGCUAGUAAUCGCGCAUCAGCCACGGCGCGGUGAAUACGUUCCC
rnacentral:rRNA from 1 species